rnacentral:rRNA from 1 species
AGAGUUUGAUCCUGGCUCAGGAUGUACGCUGGCGGCGUGCCUAACACAUGCAAGUCGAGCGAAGCAUAUAACAUGAAGUUUUCGGACGGAAUGUUAUCUGACUGAGCGGCGGACGGGUGAGUAACGCGUGGGUAACCUGCCUUAUACAGGGGGAUAACAGUUAGAAAUGACUGCUAAUACCGCAUAAGCGCACAGUACUGCAUGGUACAGUGUGAAAAACUCCGGUGGUAUAAGAUGGACCCGCGUCUGAUUAGCCAGUUGGCGGGGUAACGGCCCACCAAAGCGACGAUCAGUAGCCGACCUGAGAGGGUGACCGGCCACAUUGGGACUGAGACACGGCCCAAACUCCUACGGGAGGCAGCAGUGGGGAAUAUUGCACAAUGGGGGAAACCCUGAUGCAGCAACGCCGCGUGAGUGAAGAAGUAUUUCGGUAUGUAAAGCUCUAUCAGCAGGGAAGAAGAUGACGGUACCUGACCAAGAAGCCCCGGCUAACUACGUGCCAGCAGCCGCGGUAAUACGUAGGGGGCAAGCGUUAUCCGGAAUCACUGGGUGUAAAGGGAGCGUAGACGGCUGUGCAAGCCUGAAGUGAAAGGCGGGGGCCCAACCUCUGGACUGCUUUGGGAACUGUACGGCUGGAGUGCAGGAGAGGUAAGUGGAAUUCCUAGUGUAGCGGUGAAAUGCGUAGAUAUUAGGAGGAACACCAGUGGCGAAGGCGGCUUACUGGACUGUAACUGACGUUGAGGCUCGAAAGCGUGGGGAGCAAACAGGAUUAGAUACCCUGGUAGUCCUCGCCGUAAACGAUGAUUACUAGGUGUCGGGGGGCAGAGGCCCUUCGGUGCCGCAGCAAACGCAAUAAGUAAUCCACCUGGGGAGUACGUCCGCAAGGAUGAAACUCAAAGGAAUUGACGGGGACCCGCACAAGCGGUGGAGCAUGUGGUUUAAUUCGAAGCAACGCGAAGAACCUUACCCGGCCUUGACAUCCCCCUGACAGUGUAUGUAAUGUACAUUCCCUUCGGGGCAGGGGAGACAGGUGGUGCAUGGUUGUCGUCAGCUCGUGUCGUGAGAUGUUGGGUUAAGUCCCGCAACGAGCGCAACCCUUACCCACAGUAGCCAGCACAAAAGGUGGGCACUCUGUGGGGACUGCCGGGGACAACCCGGAGGAAGGUGGGGAUGACGUCAAAUCAUCAUGCCCCUUAUGGCCGGGGCUACACACGUGCUACAAUGGCGUAAACAAAGGGAAGCGAGAGAGUGAUCUUAAGCGAAACUCAAAAAUAACGUCCCAGUUCGGAUUGCAGUCUGCAACUCGACUGCAUGAAGCUGGAAUCGCUAGUAAUCGCGGAUCAGAAUGCCGCGGUGAAUACGUUCCCGGGUCUUGUACACACCGCCCGUCA